rnacentral:rRNA from 1 species
UGGCCAGACUCCUACGGGAGGCAGCAGUGAGGAAUAUUGGUCAAUGGGCGCGAGCCUGAACCAGCCAAGUCGCGUGGGGGAGGACGGCCCUACGGGUUGUAAACCUCUUUUGCCGGGGAGCAACGGGCGUCACGUGUGGCGCCACUGAGAGUACCCGGAGAAAAAGCAUCGGCUAACUCCGUGCCAGCAGCCGCGGUAAUACGGAGGAUCCGAGCGUUAUCCGGAUUUAUUGGGUUUAAAGGGAGCGUAGGUGGAUUGUUAAGUCAGUUGUGAAAGUUUGCGGCUCAACCGUAAAAUUGCAGUUGAAACUGGCAGUCUUGAGUACAGUAGAGGUGGGCGGAAUUCGUGGUGUAGCGGUGAAAUGCUUAGAUAUCACGAAGAACCCCGAUUGCGAAGGCAGCUUACUAAACUGUGACUGACAUUGAUGCUCGAAAGUGUGGGUAUCAAACAGGAUUAGAUACCCUCGUAUA